AAUGCGACGCAUUACUUUCCGGACAAACCCUGGAUCACUGGCUCUUAUGUGGUUGGCUGUGAUCAAUAUUAACGUGGUUAAUCGGACCUUCCCAUUUUCUAGCAUGGUGUUUACCAUUAUGGUAUUCAUCAGCGUGGUGAAUUUCAACGAUGUCGCGGACUUGAACCGCUGGUCUCUUAAAGGUGAGAAAAGUGAACAUGCGACAGAAAUGACAUCCACGAACUCAAACGUGAUGUUAAACGGUUCUGGUCAUAUUCAAAGCUUCGAAGUAGAGAAACAGGUUCAUCUUCUUUGAGGAUAGAAAUUGUUGAUGGCCACAAUAACGGACACAAUAAUGGACAUAUACAUCAUCAGGGGUAAACCCAAUUCUAUAUGGCUGUAUUGCAAUCUUCCUGUUGCAAUACAUUUAAUUUAAUUCGUUGCAUAAUUUCUUGAGACGAUGGAGCAUCAAAAGAAGACUCGAAAGGGUUACUCGAAUAAAUGCAAAGCUCGAUUUAGUAAAGCGAAUAAGGAAGAAGGAAGAAUUCUUGUAAUUUUUUUUCUUGCGGGUAUUCGUUCUUGGUCGCAAUCUAAGCAAGUUCAAACUUGCACAUGGUGAUGCCCGUAUGGUUGUUAAACAAAUUAGUUGCAUAAUUUCUUGGAACGGUGCCAGAUGUGUCUCGGUGUCUCUAUCUUCUUGUUUUUCUUAAU